UCUAAACCCGCCAAGACUAUCACUAUCUAUCUUAUUUCUGAUAAAUUUUGUUAAUUAAUGUAAAUUAAAUAACAAAAACAUUCCACUAUCGACAUCUCCAAGCCUAUCUUCCAAUAAACCCUUUCAUCUCCCCAUAGAACUCAAAGGCAUCGACACCUCCAAAGCUCUCAAUACCUUUCACCUUGAGAAUUCCAUCUAUGGCUAACUCUAAAUCCCCAUAUCCCCAAAUCAAAUCGUUGGCCUAACCCAAUAUCCCCAAAUCUAAGUGUCGAUCAUAUUUUGUUAUUCGAAGAAGAGAAGGCAUCAAAGAGAACAAAGGAAAAAUCUAAAAGACACGAUUAAAGGUGAGAAAACUACUUCAAUCGCGAGAAAGUUUCGACCCAAAAGGCACUAUGUGAGAAACUAACUUCAGUUUUUGUUUUGUAGGAAAAUAUUGGGGAGGAGGGGGUAGGGUUUGGUGGUCGUUGAAGAAAUUAUGAGAGAUUUGGGAUCCUUUUGUUCGGUUGUUGAGGCUCGAUCCUUCUCCAACAUCCUCUUCUGGCUCAGCUGUGCUACAUUUUGAGAUCUUUCCAAUCUUUAAAUGAAGGAAGCACUGAUGACAUGUCUUAAUUAGUGAGGUUGUGAGAAUAUUUGGGGGCGGAGAUGAAGCUAGCUGCUCUGUUGACUUCUGCUGGUGUCAAUACUGCAGUGUGCGUAGUGCUGUUCUCCUUGUAUUCGGUUUUAAGGAAACAACCGAGGUUUGUAAAUGUUUACUUUGGCGCGAAGAUUGCUCAAGUACGAGCAAGACAACAGGAUGCCUUUCGCUUUGAUAGAUUUGUUCCUUAUCCAAGUUGGAUCCUUAAGGCACGGGAGACUUCUGAUGAAAAAAUAUGUGUUACUGGGGGAUUGGAUGCAGUAGUAUUUGUGCGGAUGAUUGUUUUCAGCUGAAACAGUGCGCUUUGUUUGUGUUGCUGCUGCUCGUGGAAAGCAU